rnacentral:rRNA from 1 species
UCUACAUAGCAGAGUUUGAUCAUGGCUCAGGACGAACGCUGGCGGCGUGCUUAACACAUGCAAGUCGAACGGUGAAGCCCUUCGGGGUGGAUCAGUGGCGAACGGGUGAGUAGCACGUGGGCAAUCUGCCCUGCAUUCUGGGACAAGCCUUGGAAACGAGGUCUAAUACCGGAUACGACGCAUCCCCGCAUGGGUGUGCGUGGAAAGCUCCGGCGAUGCAGGAUGAGCCCGCGGCCUAUCAGCUUGUUGGUGGGGUAAUGGCCUACCAAGGCGACGACGGGUAGCCGGCCUGAGAGGGCGACCGGCCACACUGGGACUGAGACACGGCCCAGACUCCUACGGGAGGCAGCAGUGGGGAAUAUUGCACAAUGGGCGAAAGCCUGAUGCAGCGACGCCGCGUGAGGGAUGACGGCCUUCGGGUUGUAACCUCUUCAGCAGGGAAGAAGCGCAAGUGACGGUACCUGCAGAAGAAGCACCGGCUAACUACGUGCCAGCAGCCGCGGUAAU